CUUUACUGGAAGUUUGGGCAAAUCCCUAAGUACGAUCCGGAAGUCCACCACCUGUUUUUGGCACACAACUUAGUGCACCAAUUUCACAUAAUCAGGCUCAUAAGCGACGCCGCACCUACGCACAAACUCAAACCCCGCCGCGGGUUACAUCUCUCCCCACACCCACCAAACUGCAGCGGGGCUGCUUAAUAAUUUCAUAACUUUAAAAUUAUAACAGCAGUGGUAACAAACAAAAACUCCAGAGGCAUCUACAUAAAAUUCCCCACAAGUUUUGUACACAAUUUAUAAUUAAAUUCCAACAUCUAAUUAGCCCAAAACAGUCCACAAGAUGAACCCUGUAAUCUGUUUUUUUGUCCUAUGGGCAGCGACAUACCCGGAUUCAAACAGCGAUAUCUUUUAAAAUAUAAUUCCAAAUCAAGUGCAUAAGUACUCAUUGGAAAGAUAAGACAAAGCCCUACAUUAUUAUCAUACUGGUUAACACUAAUUACCCACGAAAAAUACCCAGAAACUGCUAAUACUACUGCUGUUCACCCACCUGAAAAUCUAUUUUUUUUGGACAGCAACAUAACCGGAUUCAAACAACGAUAUCUCCUAAAUUAUAACUCCGAAUCGAGCGCAUAAGUACCCGUUGGAAAGGUAUGACAAAGCUCUACAUGAUUCACCCACUGAUCCCCACUAAUUUCCCACGAAAAAUUCGCAGAAAUCCCUAGAACUACUGCUGUUCACCCACCCACAAAAUUUUCAGGACAGCACCUCUACCGAUUCGGAUAGGUAAACAUAUAAUCAAUUGGAUUACAACACAAUUAAACAAGAUACAAUCUCAAAAUCACCUUGAAUCCUCCCCCUUUCCUCCCUUCUUCUUCCCUCCACCAAAAUCCAAUUGGAGACAUGCACCAACGCGACGUAGAUCCGAGCGGGAAAGGAAUGGCACCUUGGAGAGAAGGGCUUGAGGAGGGGCGGCUAGGGUUUGAUGGGGGAGGUGGGGUGGCGGCUGCAAAUGGGUGGAGGAGUGAGAGGGGCGUCCUCCAAACCUAGAGAGAGGGGGGCGG
rnacentral:lncRNA from 1 species